AUUGAACGCUGGCGGCAUGCCUUACACAUGCAAGCCGAACGGCAGCACGGGAGCAAUCCUGGUGGCGAGUGGCGAACGGGUGAGUAAUAUAUCGGAACGUGCCCAGUCGUGAGGGAUAACGCAGCGAAAGCUGUGCUAAUACCGCAUACGAUCUAUGGAUGAAAGCGGGGGACCGCAAGGCCUCGCGCGAUUGGAGCGGCGGAUAUCAGAUUAGCUAGUUGGUGGGGUAAAGGCCCACCAAGGCGACGAUCUGUAGCUGGUCUGAGAGGACGACCAGCCACACUGGAACUGAGACACGGUCCAGACUCCUACGGGAGGCAGCAGUGGGGAAUUUUGGACAAUGGGCGCAAGCCUGAUCCAGCAAUGCCGCGUGCAGGAUGAAGGCCUUCGGGUUGUAAACUGCUUUUGUACGGAACGAAACGGUGAGCUUUAAUACAGUUUGCUAAUGACGGUACCGUAAGAAUAAGCACCGGCUAACUACGUGCCAGCCGCCGCAGUAA
rnacentral:rRNA from 1 species